UAGAGAGGUCCUUGGUGGGAGGUGAACGAAAAUCCUAAGUGUUCUAAGUGUGGAGACUGACUUGGUCUAGCAAGGAGGAGAAGAAUUGCUCUCUUGGAAGAAGAGAGAUUUAAGUUAGAAUUUUCCUUGAAAUUGAAAGUGAAAACAAGCAAAGGUGGUGGUCUAGAGGUAUCAAGAGUGAAGAAUUUCUUUCAAGGAGAAGAGAAACUAUUUCAGAUGAAUUAGCAGAUGGUUCUGAAAAUGCUUAGAAGAUGAGAGAUCUGCGGGGAAAAGGAGACAUGGGGAAUUUCUAAAAUAGAUCUAUGUUUGAAUUUCCGAACUGUGUGAAAUUUUAAAUUUCAGAAGUUUAUGAACUGUGUGGACUUUUAUUUUCAGAAGACUUGUGUUGUAAUAAAGAACUUAAUAUUUUAUGGGUGC
rnacentral:sRNA from 1 species